AUACCUGCAGUCGAGCGCGGGAAGCAAACUGAAUCCUUCGGGAGGACGUUUGUGGAACGAGCGGCGGACGGGUGAGUAACACGUGGGCAACCUGCCUGUAAGACUGGGAUAACUCCGGGAAACCGGGGCUAAUACCGGAUAACUCAUCGGAUCGCAUGAUCCGAGGUUGAAAGAUGGCUUCUUGCUAUCACUUACAGAUGGGCCCGCGGCGCAUUAGCUAGUUGGUGAGGUAACGGCUCACCAAGGCCACGAUGCGUAGCCGACCUGAGAGGGUGAUCGGCCACACUGGGACUGAGACACGGCCCAGACUCCUACGGGAGGCAGCAGUAGGGAAUCAUCCGCAAUGGACGAAAGUCUGACGGUGCAACGCCGCGUGAGUGAGGAAGGCCUUCGGGUCGUAAAACUCUGUUGUUAGGGAAGAACAAGUUCCGUUCGAAUAGGGCGGAGCCUUGACGGUACCUAACCAGAAAGCCACGGCUAACUACGUGCCAGCAGCCGCGGUAAUACGUAGGUGGCAAGCGUUGUCCGGAAUUAUUGGGCGUAAAGCGCGCGCAGGCGGUUCCUUAAGUCUGAUGUGAAAGCCCACGGCUCAACCGUGGAGGGUCAUUGGAAACUGGGGAACUUGAAGACAGAAGAGGAGAGCGGAAUUCCACGUGUAGCGGUGAAAUGCGUAGAUAUGUGGAGGAACACCAGUGGCGAAGGCGGCUCUCUGGUCUGUGCUUGACGCUGACGCGCGAAAGCGUGGGGAGCGAACAGGAUUAGAUACCCUGGUAGUCCACGCCGUAAACGAUGAGUGCUAGGUGUUAGGGGUUUCCACCCUUAGUGCUGCAGUUAACGCAAUAAGCACUCCGCCUGGGGAGUACGGCCGCAAGGCUGAAACUCAAAGGAAUUGACUUGGGCCCGCACAAGCGGUGGAUCAUGUGGUUUAAUUCGAAGCAACUCGAAGAACCUUACCUGGUCUUGACUUCCUCUGACGGCCGUAGAGAUAGGGGG
rnacentral:rRNA from 1 species